UUUUCUUCCAUCUCCCCCUCUUCCCUCGUUUUUCCUUUCAUCUUCUUUUUCCUCCUCUCAUUUAAUCACCAGCUUCAAUACAAAACAACCACACCAUCAUUAUAUAUUUUGUCCAUCGACAGAAAUAUACAAAUUCAAGAACACUCUCAGAAAAGAAAAGAAGAGAACACCCCUCAACAUGAAUGCUGGUAAAUUUAAAAAAAAAUACGCAUUCAAGCCCUUUUGUAGGUUAAAGAGAGCUAUGUUCAAGAAUGCUUAUGUUGGUUCUAUCUCUUCUCAUUCCUUGAAGCAGAUUCGUCCAUGGAAGUCUUCUUUGUAGUCGCUUUCAAUGCUUUUUUUAUUGGAUUAAUGCAAAACUGCAGUUGUUGUUGAUGCUCAUCACUGCUACUAUUCGAGUCUUCCUCUCUGGUAAUAAACAAAACAUUGUUUCUCGCCCACCAACUGUUGUAAUAUCAGCUUUUAGUGUCUUUAAGGUAAAACUUUCAGUGUCUUGAUUAGCUCAGGCAAAAGGUCGAUUCUAUCUUCACAGUAAAAUGAAAGAUAACCAUUUUAUUAUUUUCAAUUACUUUGUAUCAAGAUAUAUAAACUCAUAAAAACAUAGUUACAACUAAAAUGUUAUUUAAUUAACGUGCAUGGCAUUAGGUAACUCUUGCUAGUUAGGAUUAAGCUUGCUCCCGCAUUACAAGAAAUAAUCAAAAUGAGAAAAAAAAAUGUAUAAAACGUGAAAGUAGCUAAAAGUGUAGGCUGUUGUUAAUGGUGUGGGGUUCAUUUUUGUCUCUCUUUAUUUCUUUUCAUUCCCUACUUAAUUUGAUUGAUGAUCUGGUAACAAAAUUUCGUGGAAUCUUUUCAACUGCUCCUUGAUUUUUCUUCUUUUUAGAAGAAGAAGAGAUGGGGAGAGGAGAGACGGAAGAAUAGGAAAUAAAAGCAAUUCUAAUUAAAUUUUUGACCAUUUUACCAAUAAAGGCCCAUUUCUAACUUUAUUUACAGAAAUGAGCUAAUUUUUACAUUAUUUAUCGGAAAUGGCCGAAAUCUGUAAAACACGUCUACGUAGGAGUGUUUUAGGGGGAUACUUCAGCAAGUUUUAGGGGGAUACUUCAGCAAAUUGCAUCCCUGAGGGAGCGAUUUUGCCAUGUCAGCAUAAAAUGCGUUGACGUGGACGCGAUUUGCUCUGUGUUUUUUUCCCAAUGGUCAUUUAAAAAUUUGACCAUUGGGGGUCCAACGAUCAAAAAAGAAACUAUAAAACCCCCCUCAUAUUUUCUUCACACAACAUUUCUUCCAAAUUUCUCAAAAAAUCUCUCAAAUUUUUCCCUAAAUUUCUCAAAACUCUCUUUAAUUAAAUUAUUUCCUUUAAUUAUUUUUUAAAUUAGUAUUAUUUUUUUUAUAAUUUCAAAAAUAUUUGAUCGUGUUAGCAAUGGCCGGGGAAUUAAUUCGUCUCGAUUAUAAACAUAUCUCCGUCGACCAAAUGAAAAUGGUAAGGGUUAAUUUUAAUUUUUUAAUAUUUUUUUAUUUAUGUAAUUUUAAUUAAUUUUUAUUUUAUAAUUUUUUAUAACAGUCUAUAGAUCAGGUGUUACAAUGUUAUAUUCGUAAUAUGUCUGGUUCUCCAUCACCGUUGAUAGAAAAUUACUUGAGGGAAGCGGGUUUUUGGCACGUGGCCAAAUAGGUCGGGGUGCAAGUAGGACUUGAAACUCAUCAGCGCGUUAAUAAAGAGGUGGAGACUUGGGAUUCACACAUUUCAUCUUUCAUGCGGAGAGUGUAUCAUCACUUUGGAGGACAUGCAGUUACAAUUGGGAUUGCCGGUGGAUAGGUCCUCACUCACCGGGUCCGUUCAAUUUGCUGAUUGGGAAGCCAUAUGCUACGAUCUUUUUGGUGCAAUUCCGGAUAAUAUUUAUGGAGGUCGAAUCGAGAUGGGCUAGUUACUAGACACAUUUCCGGAGCCGGGGAAUGAUUCGACUGAAAUAGAAAGAAUAAGAUAUGCUCGGGCAUACAUCCUUGACAUUAUUAGAGGUUAUCUGAUGUCGAACUUGUCAUGAAACCUCGUACAUCUGAGGUGGCUGCUGAAACUCAUUGAUUUUAGAGCAGUUGACGAACUUAGUUAGGGGUUUACCAUGUUGGCAACAUUGUACCGGGAAAUGUGUGGGGCGACGCCACCUAAUAAAGCAAAUAUCAAAGGUUGCCUAUCACUACAACAAUCAUGGGCUCGGUUUUCUUUUUCAUUUUUACGUCCUCGAGUGAACCACCCAUAUACAUUCUCACUCAUAACAAGGUGAAACCAUUCGACGAGUUAUGUUGAAAUACCUACUACUCUUCAAAAUAUACGACUUUUAUUAGACCAACGGUCAGAAGCGCAUUUUCAAUGGACACCAUACAAGGAUUCGACAAUUUGGGCUGUAAUUCUGAAUGAAUUCUUUCAAACUCCGAACAUUUGGCAUGUUAGAGUCCCAUUGGUCAACUAUGCUACUAUCGAGAUGCACCAAAUGAAUAGAUUGUUGCUGCAAUUUGGAUUUCGACAACCGAUUCCCGUGGCACUUGAUGUGCUCAAUGAUGAGCACAAAAUCGACUUACGACAAUCGAAUACAAAUUGGCCAGUAUUCUUCUCAGAAUAUAUCAAAAUUUGGGAAAAUCAGUAUGAUCAUAUACCUACUCGUGAACCGAUCAUCGUUCCAAAGUUAGCGUGUGCGCCGGAUACAUGUCAUGGUUUAGGAUCUAUGGCAAGCUAUAUUUGCUAUCAGAAGAGCAAAGGCGUCGGCAAAUCCAUGUCGAAAGGAAAUGACGGGGCCCUUUAAAUCAAAGAAGAAGGGAUGACGGCACGGGCCCAUCAACAGCGCCCACACAAUCACCAGGCCCAACACCUCAAGCGACGACACCUACACCACAGCCCCUUCAGAUUAUGCCAGGUGCAUAUCCUAGCCCUUAUAUGUAUCCUAACCCUUAUAUGUUUCCUUUUCCCAAUCCUAUGCCACGUUGGAAUGCAUGGCCCGGUAGAUCUCCUUUCUCGAUGACUCUGACUCAACCGAUGGUAUAUAGGCCAUCGUCGUAGGAGGGAUCGCACGAGACACUGUCGGGGAGCUCAUCUCAUUACCAAUCCCCAUCGCCUUAUGGGAUUCAAACACCUUCGCCGUGGGUGAUGCAAACACCUCCGUAUUCUUUAUUCUAUUAAGGUGGUUCAUCCUCCCAACACCCACAACCAAAACAGCCACAACCCCCACCGGAGCAACCACAACCCCCGUCGGAAGCUGAACCAAGGAGGAAUCUAGUGCGUAACCGUCGACCGCUCCCAUGUGACACUAAUUCCGACCGGCACAUACAUUGAUUUUUUUAAUAUAUUUGUACAAACUAUUUUUAUAUUGCUUCAUUUAAUAAAAUAAAAGUUGUUUUGAAUA